GACGAACGCUGGCGGCGUGCCUAAUACAUGCAAGUUGAGCGAUGAAGAUUGGUGCUUGCACCAAUUUGAAGAGCAGCGAGCGGGUGAGUAACGCGUGGGGAAUCUGCCUUUGAGCGGGGGACAACAUUUGGAAACGAAUGCUAAUACCGCAUAACAACUUUAAACAUAAGUUUUAAGUUUGAAAGAUGCAAUUGCAUCACUCAAAGAUGAUCCCGCGUUGUAUUAGCUAGUUGGUGAGGUAAAGGCUCACCAAGGCGAUGAUACAUAGCCGACCUGAGAGGGUGAUCGGCCACAUUGGGACUGGGACACGGCCCAAACUCCUACGGGAGGCAGCAGUAGGGAAUCUUCGGCAAUGGACGAAAGUCUGACCGAGCAACGCCGCGUGAGUGAAGAAGGUUUUCGGAUCCGAAAACUCUGUUGGUAGAGAAGAACGUUGGUGAGAGUGGAAAGCUCAUCAAGUGACGGUAACUACCCAGAAAGGGACGGCUAACUACGUG
rnacentral:rRNA from 1 species